UUCGUUGCGAGCCAACACAACGGCCACGCGCAGCCCCACACACACACGCGCUCGAACGCCGUCACACGCAUGUGGCUGACCUGCGGCGCAGCGCUGGCGACAGCAGUGCGGCGAACAAAAGCGAUUCGGCUGCUCAGUUGUGUUUUGUGCGGCGCGUGUGACGGUUUUCUCGUUUCUCCAAAGGCGCAUCGACGCGACUCUACUCGACUUGGCUUGACUCGCCGCUGACACGCAAGCCAGAAUGAAACGUGAAUUGCUUGUAGACGAAGAAAAAAGAAAAUAAGCAAACAAAUAUUUGAAUUUAAAUAAUUAAUGUACAAUAGCAACAAAGUGGCAACGUGUGUGUGAGUGAAUUUGAAGCUUUGAGGCAAAAUAGUGGAACUGCAGCGAAUGCGCUAAGAAGUUGACGGGGUUUUUAGAGUAAAGUAGUGCUUGACAAUCGAUUUUUGCUAACAGUGAGCAACAAUGUGGACCACGAUACACGCCGGCCGCGCUUCCACAAGCUUGUGCACACAAACAGACGCGAAUUAGUUUGGAGUCCCAAUGUAAACAGAGUUUUCGACGCAAUCAGUGGCGGUGUUGUUGUAAAUAAAAUUAAUAAUUGAACUACAAAUAAUAUUUAAGUGGAAACAUUGUACAAAAAUACAUACAUAUGUACAUAUAUGUGAAUGUGAGCGUAGAAAUCGGAAAUAGUAAAAUUACCUGUGAAUCUAAUUAAUUUAUGCGCUUAACUGGCGUCUCAAUAUUAAUUUGUGUGUGAAAUACAAAAAAUAUACAACAACAACAAAACUAUCGUGAAAUUUCAACUUUAAGCAGCGACCAGCAUCAACUGUUUUUACUAAGAAAAUAAAGCCGCUCUCUGCUGCUAUAGUUUCUUAAUCGAAUCAACAAACAAACGAAAAGUGUUAAUCAUGUUUACCACAUUCUGUGAAAUAUUCAGCAUAAAAUCUUUAUUGCAACGAACUAAGAGCUACUAAAACCAAACUGAAACUAAAAAUCGCAGUAAUCUUUAUAUGGCUUUAAAAAAUACCAAAACUCAUU